GGUUUUGGUGGUGAUCUACGAGCAACGAGUGAGACAAGAAAGGCACUUUGACUUUGCUGUAUACUACACCAAUAGUAAGACAAAUAACUACAAGACCAGAAGAUGCUCUUGUUCCAAAUGGUGACAUUUUUACCCAUUGUUUUUCUGGUUUGCUUUGCAACAAGCCAAGAAGCUGAAAAUAAAAGAGCGGUGACAGAACAUCAGCUCCUGCAUGAUAGAGGGAGGGCACUUCAGGGUCUAAAGCGGCUAAUGUGGCUCCACAAUGCCGUGGGUGGAGUGCAUACCGCCACUGGCAG